CCUACGGGUGGCAGCAGUGAGGAAUAUUGGUCAAUGGACGAGAGUCUGAACCAGCCAAGUAGCGUGAAGGAUGACUGCCCUAUGGGUUGUAAACUUCUUUUAUAUGGGAAUAAAACGUUCCACGUGUGGGAUUUUGUAUGUACCAUAUGAAUAAGGAUCGGCUAACUCCGUGCCAGCAGCCGCGGUACUACGGAGGAUCCGAGCGUUAUCCUGAUUUAUUGGGUUUAAAGUGAGCGUAGGUGGAUUGUUUAGUCAGUUGUGAAAGUUUGCGGCUGAACCGUAACAUUGCAGUUGAAACUGGCAGACUUGAGUAAAGUAGAGGUGAGCGGAAUUCGUGGUGUAGCGGUGAAAUGCUUAGAUAUCACGAAGAACUCCGAUUGCGAAGGCAGUUCACUGGACUGAAACUGACACUGAGGCUCGAAAGUGUGGGUAUCAAACAGGAUUAGAUACCCUGGUAGUC
rnacentral:rRNA from 1 species